UAAACGACUCUCGGCAACGGAUAUCUCGGCUCUCGCAUCGAUGAAGAACGNAGCRAAAUGNNAUANUNGGUGURAAUUGCAGAAUCCCGUGAACCAUCGAGUCUUUGAACGCAAGUUGCGCCCGAAGCCGUUAGGCCGAGGGCACGUCUGCCUGGGCGUCACACGUCGUUGCCCCCCCGACCCCUUCGGGGGUCGGACGGGACGGAUGAUGGCCUUCCCGUGUGCCCCGUCACGCGGUUGGCAUAAAUACCGA
rnacentral:rRNA from 1 species